rnacentral:lncRNA from 1 species
GACCUGAUACACUCAGAAUUGAUUUCUGCCCUAAAUGGUUUUGCUCCAAGGAAGAAGUGCUGACCACCUGAGGUUUCCUUGGAUUUCAUCUGCAGUUGUGGGUGCUCUGAAAGUCCAGCCAUUUAUCCUGAGUGAUGAGCUCUGGGCAUAAGGGACUAGAGCUAUGUGGAGAAAGAUGCUCUGGCUGUCAAUACAAGGACUGUAUAUACUGUAUGAGGCACCCCCACUACCAAUAUCAAAAACCUUUCAAGUCAUACUAUAUCUAUCCAGAGAGUGUACAACAUAUACCAGAUCAUAUAUCACCUGGAAACAGAGUGCUCCACUCAGCAUAUCCCAGCAUGCACAUAGUUCAAUGGAGACUCAGGCAGGUGGGGGAUGGCACUGUGGCUGGUCAGUCAGCUGAGACAUGAGUUUCUGGAAGGAAAAAGAGGAAGUGACAGAUGGGCAGUGAGAGGACAUUUAGUGAGGCAGCCAACCCAGACACCUUUUUAUUGAAUUAAUUGAGAAAAAUAACCCCAGCUCCACCUGUCAUGUCAAAACACCUGCACUUACUUUGGUAUUCUGAACUACCCAACUCACUGGCAGAAGGUGGGAGUUGCACUAAGCAAUAAAAUACCCUUGUGCUUCUGGUCGAGAAUUUUU